ACAAAUGACGAGUAAAGUGAUAAUGCCCACCAGCAAUUUAUCUUGACGACUUCUUUAGAGCAGCCUAAGUGGUACAACUGAGCCAUGGGGUAGAAUUCAGGGAAUGCAUUGUGCUGCUGUAUUUUGAGGCACUGAGGAAGUCCACAGCUCCUGGCACAUGUAAAUAAAACUGGUGCUGAUUUCAACUGAAUCUCAUUACUACUGCAGGCGGUAUAUAUGAAUCUAUGAAAACAGAUGAGAUUACUUUGGGAACAUGCCCAAGAUGUAUUCACUUAUGUCCUGGAGAGAUGCCAGGAAAUUCAGACACCUAUGUAACCCCUCUUGGAAGAGGAACUAUCUGUAUCAUUUCCUCAAGGCUCCUGCAGAGAAUAAGCAAUGAAGUGCUCAAAAUUCCUCAAUGGAGUUCACUUUCAGCCACAAGAGUUCCAAAGACAAUCACAAGGACCAAACCCAUUCAGUGUCAUAAUGACUCAAUUUUCUAGAGACUGUAUCUAAGACCAAUGUAGGAAGAGACUGGAUGUGGACAAAAGAAAAACACACACAAUUUGCUAAAUUAACUGAUUAAAUGAAAUAAACACAGAAACCACAGCUGGUUUCCAGUCAUCGGCCGAGUUUGUGAGGAGGGCUAGCUCUGACAAUUUGGAGUGUGGUGUAGACCUAAGGAGUGUGGGAGCAGCAAUAUGUUUAUUUGUGCUUAAAUAGAAACGCAGAUAGCUAGUCCAAGCAAGAACUUCCUCCACAGAAAGAAACUGCAAAUAACCCAUCCCCUGGCUGCCAACUAGAGGCUUAUUUUAGGAAAAGUAAGUAGGAACAGGCGGCAAGGCCAGUCCAGGAGAAUUUAGAGGUGUUCCUCCCACACACCAGGCGCUCAUUAGCAUGUCUCCUCGGCUUCUGAACCAUGUAACAGCUGCAGACAGACAAUAGGGAGAACUGUCACCGAGAACCAAAAGGGUCCUGGAAAAGCCUGUUAAUUAAGAAAAGAUGGAGGGGGAUGUGUUUUUAGAAAGCAAUACAACUCCUGAACAGAGGGGAAAAAUUUAAUAGAGAGUUUUGAAAGACAAUGACUCAAAGGAAAAUAAAUCAAAGUAAAAUACGUUAUCACUCUUCAAGGUGAAACCACAGUUACUUGUUCCUCAAGCAUUUAUCCCGCACUUACUGAGAAAUGCUGAAUUUCAUGAGGGGAAAAG
ensembl:lncRNA